GGUGGCUCAAUGGUAGAGCACUUGCUUGCAUGCAUGAGGCCCUGGGUUCGAUACUCAGCACCA
rnacentral:tRNA from 1 species